UGGGGAAUAUUGGGCAAUGGGCGCAAGCCUGACCCAGCAACGCCGCGUGAAGGAAGAAGGUCUUCGGAUUGUAAACUUCUGUCAUUGGGGACGAAGGAAGUGACGGUACCCAAUGAGGAAGCUGCGGCUAACUACGUGCCAGAAGCCGCGGUAAUACGUAGGGGGCGAGCGUUGUCCGGAAUUACUGGGCGUAAAGGGUGCGUAGGCGGCGAUGCAAGUCCAUUGUGAAAAGCCCGGGCUUAACCUGGGAGGUGCAGUGGAAACUGCAUGGCUUGAGUGCAGGAGAGGAAAGUGGAAUUCCUAGUGUAGCGGUGAAAUGCGUAGAUAUUAGGAGGAACACCAGUGGCGAAGGCGGCUUUCUGGACUGUAACUGACGCUGAGGCACGAAAGCGUGGGGAGCAAACAGG
rnacentral:rRNA from 2 species